rnacentral:pre_miRNA from 1 species
GAGACACCCUUAUGGGGCAAGACUUGCUUCAAUGGGGCUUUGGUGCUCACUGAGUCUGCCCCCCUUAGUGUGUCCCU